GAUGAACGCUGGCGGCGUGCCUAAUACAUGCAAGUCGAGCGAACAGACGAUGAGCUUGCUCCUCUGACGUUAGCGGCGGACGGGUGAGUAACACGUGGAUAACCUACCUAUAAUACUGGGAUAACUUCGGGAAACCGGAGCUAAUACCGUAUAAUAUAUUGAACCGCAUGGUUCAAUGGUGAAAGACGGUUUUGCUGUCUCUUAUAGAUGGAUCCGCGCCGCAUUAGCUAGUUGGUAAGGUAACGGCUUACCAAGGCGACGAUGCGUAGCCGACCUGAGGGGGUGAUAGGCCACACUGGAACUGAGACAAGGUCAAGACUCCUACGGGACGCAGCAGUCGGGAAUCUUCCGCAGUGGGCGAAAGCCUGACGGAGUAACGCGGCGUGAGUGACGAAGGUCUUCGGAUCGUAAAACUCUGUUAUUAGGGAAAAACCACUGUGUACGUAACUAUGCCCGUCUUGACGGUACCUAAUAAGAAAGCCACGGCUAACUACGUG
rnacentral:rRNA from 1 species